rnacentral:rRNA from 1 species
UACGUAGGGGGCGAGCGUUGUCCGAAGUUACUGGGCGUAAAGCGCGCGUAGGCGGGGGAUUAAGUGAGAGGUGAAAGGCUGGGGCUCAACCUCAUGCAGUGCCUCUCAUACUGGUUCUCUUGAGGGCGGUAGGGAGAAGUGGAAUGGCUGGUGUAGCGGUGAAAUGCGCAGAUAUCAGGAGGAACACCGGUGGCGAAGGCGGGUCUCUGGGCCGAUACUGACGCUGAGGAGCGAAAGCGUGGGGAGCGAACAGG